rnacentral:rRNA from 1 species
CUAGCGACUUCAGAGUUUGAUCCUGGCUCAGGACGAACGCUGGCGGCGUGCUUAACACAUGCAAGUCGAACGGAGCUUCUUGGAUAGAGACUUCGGUCAAUUGAAUUGAAGCUUAGUGGCGGACUGGUGAGUAACGCGUGAGGAACCUGCCUUUCAGAGGGGGACAACAGUUGGAAACGACUGCUAAUACCGCAUGACGCAUGACCGGGGCAUCCCGGACAUGCCAAAGAUUUUAUCGCUGAAAGAUGGCCUCGCGUCUGAUUAGCUAGUUGGUGGGGUAACGGCCCACCAAGGCGACGAUCAGUAGCCGGACUGAGAGGUUGACCGGCCACAUUGGGACUGAGAUACGGCCCAG